rnacentral:rRNA from 1 species
GUGAACCCUGCGGAGGAUCAUUGUCGU